UACCUCUGUGUUUACUGUUGAUAGUUCGUUUGAGGUGGUUAUUUUACUUCUGUUGUGUUGACUGUUGAUAGGUCAUUUAUCUAAGGUGGUUAUUUUACCUCUGUGGUGUUGACUGGGGUUAUUUUACCUCUUGUUGUGUUUACUGUUGAUAGGUCAUUUAUCUAAGGUGUUUUUUUUACCUCUGUGUUUACUGUUGAUAGUUCGUUUAAGGUGGUUAUUCUACUUCUGUUGUGUUGACUGACGGGUUAUUUUACCACGAUGGUGUUGACUGGGGUUAUUUUGCCUGGUGGUUUGCUGAUACACAGUUACAUGAGAAAGAAACGUUCCACACUGCUAAGAGGUGGAAUGUGACAUGAGAUGUUUUUUGGUGUAAGUUAAGUUAAUCUGUUUCUUAAUAGGUUUUAUUUGAGGUUUAUGUUCUGCUAGUGUAAGCAUGGCUAACUCAUGAAUGUGCUUAAACGUGUGUGUGUGUGUGUGUGUGUGU
ensembl:lncRNA